UGGUGAUCUGUGUCGUGUGGUGCGGCGUCUUCCAGUCUUACACUAAGUCGCCACCAAGUCGGCCACCACCGACCUAACACUUCUUCCUUAUUUUUCUCCUAGCUUAUCAUUCCGUUGUUGGAAACUAGGUAUUUGAACAACGUGGGGCAGAGGCGGUGUUACUGCUGUUGACCUGUGAUGAGUCCUUGCUUCCCCAGUGUUGAAGAAUAACACCAGAGAAGCACACCAAGGCAAGGUCAGAGUGGAAAUUAGAAGUUUAUUAAAGGACAGCAGAAAAGACUUCUCCCGGAGGAAGAAGGGGACCCAAGAGGUGGAAUCCGUGGAAGUGUGGUUGUUUUCCCUUUUUAUAGUUCUGGUGAUGGAAUGUAAGGGGGAAGGAUUGGGACACAGGUGGGCCAAACAAGUAAUCUGGGCAGGAAGGACUUCAUUAACACUUCUUUGGGAUGGGCUAUCUCCAAAUCUGUUGGGGGCUGUUUCCUGGGCUCCAUUAACAUUCCUUUGGGAUGAACUUUGGGCCUAGGGGCUUUUCUUCAUUAACAUUCCAUGAGUUGUCCUGCGCUUCCGGAAUCAUUGUCAGCAUGGCCUCCAUUUUAGAUUUCAUUCGAUAUUAGACCGGAUUUACCUAACUACACUGACUACCUAAUUUUAAAUCUGGCUUCAGCCGGUGCUGGGUGGCCCACCCCCCAGUCCUCUCCCAGCUUAGUGCUUUUCCACUUGUGGGGUGACUGGCCCGGCUGUCCAGUGCUGCCGAGGCAGCCUCCUCAUGCCAUAUGCAGGCUCUUUUCUCUCAGCAAAGCCUGGACAUAAAUGGCUUCAUAGUGGAACCCAAGGUCGGGCUGGAGGUGUUUUGGGGGGCCUCUUCACGACUCUUUGGCCCCAUUUUUUCCAGCAACCUAGGGGCUGACGGUGCAGUCCCCAUCUCCAGUGACUCUGUGGACCCAGUGUAGAGGCAGAAGGACCUCACUCGGGGUCUUGAGAAUCCUAAUCCCAGACACAGAUGUAGAUACUUUUAGAUCAGUGUUGGAAGGAGGCCGUGAGGCGGGGCUUAGAGCAAACUGUUGCUCUUUACCAGGUAGUAAAUAUUCCUUCGGGGGAAAUUCUGCUGGAGCUGAGAACAGGUGCAGGAGCCUCGGGACUGCAGAAACUGAAGGAAAGAGUGUAACACGUAGUGAAAACGUCCAUGGAGGCCGAGAGUGCAUGAUCUGGACGGGUCUGGAGGCCUGGGCACUGCAUGCUUGGCUACCUGCUCCCCAGUCCAGGUAGCAGCAGGCCCUUUCCACUGAGCCUCCGCAUCCCCUGAGGAGGCUCCCUGUGCUGCUUUCACUCUAGUUUUCCUUCUGUUCCCCGGGAUCUGCCUUCCACAGGACUCCCGCUAUGAUGGAGAGCAAGCUGGGCCUCGCGCCUGGGUCUGGAGUCCUCUGCUAGCAGGCUUCUCUCAAUCUGGCUGGGAGCUGGCAUCCCCCUCCGGAGAUGAGCACUCAGUGCCCGGGGAAGUGGCAGCCUCCGUCUCCUCUCUUGGCCCUCCUGAGGAACUCAUGACCUCCUGGGCUGGCCCCUGCAUUCCCAGUCCCACUGUGGGGGCGGAGGGGCUGCCCUCGCCUGGAGCUGCCUCAUCAGCAGGUGGCUGGGCAAGACCAGCAAGGCCACCCCUGCGGGAGGACGUGAGGACACGUACACAGGGAGAGUCUGUGCUCCUGGCUGGGCCACCCGAGGGGAGCUUCCACCCUUGCCUGGGGGGCAGGGAGGAGCUGGCCUUGGUGCAAAUACCACAGACUCUUUGCAGUUCUCUGUGAGUUUCAGUCAACAUUCUUGAGUAAAUAUUUCUUCGUUUGCUCUCUCCACUUAGUUCAGUUUCCAAAGAAUUAAAAUAGUUGUUUUUUUUUUUUUUGAAGAGAGAGAGAGAAUUUUAAUAUUUAUCUUUUUUUUUUCCAGUUCUCAGCGGAUACAACAUCUUUGUUUGUAUGUGGUGCUGAGGAUCGAACCUGGGCCGCACGCAUGCUAGUCGAGCACGCUACCGCUUGAGCCACAUCCCCCAGCCCAAAAUAGUUGUUUUUAAAAUGACUUUCAGGCUGAGUGUGGUGGAGCACCCUGUGAUCCCAGCAACUCAGGAGGCUGAGGCUGGAGGAUGGGCAGCUGCAGGGGAACCAGAGAAGGUGGACACAGGCCAGGCCUUGGGCCAGCUGCUCAGCAUCACACUCUUUUGUGGCCUGCUGGUGACAGUGACGUGGGACUUGCUUCCAGUGCUCAAUGCUUCGCCCACAGUGACUGAUGUCAGCCCAUGGAGGCCAAGGAGGGAAUAAUCACUGAGCUUGGCAGGUCUGGGACCUGAACCGGCAGCUGGCCUCUCACUGCCGAGCAGCAACAAGAAUACUGCAUUGGGCUCCCUCAUCACUGGGGCAAAUAACCUGGGCACCGUCCUCGAGGAGCAGCAGGAUGGGAUGCUGUGCCCACAAGGAAAGGUUGGGUGGGCACCAGGCUCUGAGAUUCCCCUGGACACGCCUCACGCCCGCACAGGGCCCAGCUCUGCAGGACAGCGCGGGUCCCCACGGUCUUAUACGGGUUCCCAACCAGCUUUGGCUGGGCCACCAUGUUAUAUGAACUUCUUUUCUUUUUGCCAAGGAAUCUUGGGACAGUCAUCUCAGGUUAGGAGGGACGUACUGGUCUUUGGGCCCCAUGUUGGGCUUCGCUGGGCGGGGAAAGGAGGGUUCUUUCUCCAGACGAGGGGGCUCAUCAGCCCACUUCAUUGAGGGCCAGCAACAGAAUCUGACCCAGGAUAACUUAGUGUUACCGCUGUUGACCGGUGACGAGUCUUUGCUUCCCCAAUGUUGAAGAAUAACACCAGAGAAGCACACCAAGGCAAGGUCAGAGUAGAAAUUAGAAGUUUAUUAAAGGACAGCAGAAAAGACUUCUCCCGGAGGAAGAAGGGGACCCAAGAGGUGGAAUCCGUGGAAGUGCCAUUGUUUCACCUUUUUAUAGUUUUGGUGAUGGAAUGUAGGGGGGAAGGGUUGGGACACAGGUGGGCCAAACAAGUAAUCUGGGCAGGAAGGACUUCAUUAACACUUCUUUGGGAUGGGCUAUCUCCAAAUCUGUUGGGGCUCUUCAUUAACAUUCCUUUGGGAUGGACUUUGGGCCUUGGGACUUCAUUAUUAUUCCAUGAGUUGUCCUGCUUUUGUUUCCCAGAAUCAUUCUCAACAUGGCCUCCAUUUUAGAUUUCACUGAUAUUAGAGCCGAUUUACCUAA